rnacentral:rRNA from 1 species
UUAUGUGAUCGUCUCUCGCAUAUCAAUAAGCGGAGGAAAAGAAACUAACAAGGAUUCCCCUAGUAACGGCGAGUGAAGCGGGAAGAGCUCAAAUUUGAAAUCUUAAAGGGUUUCCCUUUACGAAUUGUAGUUUAAAGAAGUGUUUUCUGUUGAGGUUUAGGUAAAAGUUCUUUGGAAUAGGACAUCAUAGAGGGUGAGAAUCCCGUAUUUGACCUUUACUUUCAACUUUGUGAUACACUUUCAAAGAGUCGGAUUGUUUGGGAAUGCAGUCCAAAAUGGGUGGUAAAUUUCAUCUAAAGCUAAAUAUUGGCGAGAGACCGAUAGCGAACAAGUACCGUGAGGGAAAGAUGAAAAGAACUUUGAAAAGAGAGUUAAACAGUACGUGAAAUUGUCAAAAGGGAAGCGUUUGACACCAGUGUUGUUUUUCUGAAAAUCAAUUAAAGAACUGUUUAUGCUAAGCUGUUUAGACUUUAUCAGCUAUCUGUUUAGUUUUGAGCUUUUCUUUAAUGCACUUUUCAGUUAACAAGUCAACAUCAAUUUCUUUUGCUGUAAAAAAGCUUGAGGAAGGAUGGCUUGAGAUUCGUCUUAAGUGUUUAUAGCCUCUUGCCUAUGCAGUCGGAGAGAUUGAGGUCUGCAGCGUAGAUCCUUCGGGGCUAAAUGCAUUUGUGCUAAGUUAUAGCAUUUUAUAGACAACUUGUUGACUAUGAUUUGUCUUGUAGCUUACUCGCUUAUGUUAUUUUACCUACGCUUAGGAUGUUGAAUCUGUGCGAGACUAC